rnacentral:rRNA from 1 species
AGAUUGAACGCUGGCGGCAUGCCUUACACAUGCAAGUCGAACGGUAGAGUAGCAAUACUCGAGAGUGGCGAACGGGUGAGUAAUAUAUCGGAACGUGCCCAGUCGUGGGGGAUAACGUAGAGAAAUUUACGCUAAUACCGCAUACGAUCUAAGGAUGAAAGCGGGGGACUCGCAAGAGCCUCGCGCGAUUGGAGCGGCUGAUAUCAGAUUAGGUUGUUGGUGAGGUAAAAGCUCACCAAGCCGACGAUCUGUAGCUGGUUUGAGAGAACGACCAGCCACACUGGGACUGAGACACGGCCCAGACUCCUACGGGAGGCAGCAGUGGGAAUUUUGGACAAGUGGGCGAAAGCCUGAUCCAGCAAUGCCGCGUGCAGGAAGAAGGCCGUUCGGUCGUAAACGUCGUCUUUUAGGUACCGGAACGAAAGGUUCUACGACCCUAAGUACCGGCCGGCCCUAGUCGACCGGUACCGUAAGAA